rnacentral:tRNA from 4 species
GCUCGAGUAGUAUAGUUUGGAUAGAACAGCAGGUUGCGGACUUGCAGACCCGGGUUCAAAUCCCGGCCCGAGCA